UGGGGAAUAUUGGGCAAUGGGCGAAAGCCUGACCCAGCGACGCCGCGUGGGUGAUGAAGGCCUUCGGGUUGUAAAGCCCUGUCAUGCGGAAAGAACAGUCCCAUGGUGAAUAACCUUGGGAUCUGACGGUACCGCAGGAGGAAGCACCGGCUAACUCCGUGCCAGCAGCCGCGGUAAUACGGAGGGUGCAAGCGUUGUUCGGAAUUAUUGGGCGUAAGGGGCGCGUAGGCGGUUGUGCAAGUCAGUUGUGAAAUACUUCAGCUCAACUGAAGAACUGCACCUGAUACUGCAUAACUCGAGUACAGGAGAGGGAAACGGAAUUCCCGGUGUAGAGGUGAAAUUCGUAGAUAUCGGGAGGAACACCAGUGGCGAAGGCGGUUUCCUGGCCUGAUACUGACGCUGAGGCGCGAAAGCGUGGGGAGCAAACA
rnacentral:rRNA from 1 species